ensembl:lncRNA
AUCCACUCCUGCCCUGUCCCAGAAAUUCUGUUCAUGGUAGCUUUUGUUGUGUUGCUAGUUAAAUGAGGAACCACAAAUAUUAGACUUUUGUUUCUUUCAUUGUGUUCUUUUGGGGCCUUGUAUGGCUGGUGUUCCUGACACUUAUGGAAACCUUUUAGCUAUGGCUUAUCAGGUAGAAGUAAAAAAGGGAACUAUUACAUUGCUUUGCUAUUCAGGUCUUUUGUGUGUGUAAUUCGUGUGAAUUUGAUCCUUAUGGUUCUCAACGUAAUCUACAUUCCUUCCUGUUGUCCCUGCUUGGAAACCGUUUCCACAGAGGUUCGAUGUGAAAGAGAAUCCAUUUGAUCUCUUGCCUCCACCCAGCAACCCUGAUUUCAUCUGACCUCAGGCUGCACCAUGUCUGCCCCAUCCACUGGCACAUUGGCUGCUGGAGGACUUGUUUGCAUCUGAAUCUGAAUUUGCGUCUGAAAAGCAGUGGAAGUUGGCACCGAAUCUUGGCCCUGGGCAGAGGAACAAAGGCAGAGAGGAAGAUAAAAGGAGCCGUGAGGGCAGGCUGUGCUGGGGGGCCACCCCGUGCUCUGUGCUCUCUCAGGCUGGCACAGCGCAUCGGUUCUGUGGGCACCAGCAUGGCAUGCUUCUGCCACCUGCUGGCGGCUGGAUAAUCCUGUUUCUGCAGUGGUCAUGCUUGAUGGCUUAAAGUGUGUAUACGUGAAAUGUGUUUUGUGUGUGUGUGUAGUGGGUAGUGGCCUCACUUGAAAAGCAGUCCACGUACAUUCUUGCCCCUUUUGUUCAGCAGCACAUGGAUACACAACCCCCUACAGGGAACGACAUCAAGAGCUGAGGAGAGACUAAAUGCAAUUAAACACCAAUGAGGGAAAAUAAUGGUGUACCAAAGCAAAAGCUUUAAUCGGUACCUUUGUGUACCUUUCCUGGGAGUCUAAUGGUAAUCUGUUUGUUCUGUUCUCUACAGUUCAUUAGGCAAACAUUUAGCCCGUUGCACUUAGCAAGAACCACACCACGGUAAGUGAUCUCAUGCAGACAGACCAGCUAUUAUGAGUAAUUUCAUGGAAUCAUAACAAACAGGGCUAAACCAGGAGUACACGUGAUUUUAGACUCCUGUGGUUUGGGUCACCAUUCAAGCUGCUCUAUUCUCGCCCUCACUGGGUUCACUUGAAGGUGUCAGACUAGCAUCCUUGGUGAAGGUAAAUACCCCUCCCCUGGAAAGGGACAUAAUACUCUGCUUUGUUUUUAAACUAAGUGGAUUUGAGCUCUUUGUUUGGCAGGGGUUCACUGUGACCUCCUUAGGUCUGGUGAUAUAGCCAACCUGGAGGGGAAGUGUUUGACCAUGCAUGGGCAGCCACCAAGCACACGGUUGGGUUAAUGGCACCCAGGCCAAAGCCAUAUGGUCUCAUGCAAGAGGGGGCUUGCUGCUUAAAUUAGUCCAUUGGGAUGUGAAAGUCAGAGUCAUAGUUCUUCGGUGGCUAUCGAUGGGAAAGCAAUAAAUCAAACCAACUGCCGAUGAACUGCUGCAUGUAUGUAACAUGAUGCCUACGUGGCCAUCAAUAUCUAGUCCAGAAAUGUGGUGACUAACUGCACAGAAGAACCAACACAGACCGCUCUUGGGAACAUGACCACACAUGCUGCAGCAAGGCUAUUCUCAGCUCCCUGCGAGGCCGUCUCCACUGGCUGCGUCGCUGUGUCUAUUGUGUGUAGCGAAGGGCACACGGCAUGGAGUACAAUGGUACACACAGAGGAGACGCACAACAACGAACGGGUGCGAUGGCAUCACUCUCACGUGUACCUCCUCAGCGUCCUCACUGUCAGACACCACGGGUGCCCAAGACCGCUCGGCUCAGCAGCUCGUCGCGCAGAAAAGAACCAUUGUCCCCAUGGUUCUCUCAUCCUCUUAGCUCAUCAGCACAAGGUUGAGAGGUACCAGACAGAGAUCUAUGGCUAACGACAGGAGUAAAGCAGGAGUAGCUGCACUUUAGGUUUGCAUUACUGGGGCUGUCUCUCUUUUGGUGUUUUUUGUUUAUCCCUCUCUCCAUCUCUGUCUCUCGACAUAUUGUUUUCCCUCGCUGUGUCUGUCUUUCUCGCUCUCUUCCCGCCUCUGUCAGUUUUCACUAGGAGCUCUGUGCAUCUUCAAUCCCAGCUGUACUGAAAGGCAGAGGACGAACUGAGCUGAGCUGGAAUCCACAAGUCUGGGAGCAGACGAUUCAACUUGACAGAACUUGGAGACGCAAGGACACGCCAGCAUCUCAAGAGUGAGAACUCUCAACAUCCACUGAUCAAGGAGAUAAGCAUGUCAAGAGAGAGAGAUGGCAACUCUGUUUAUGAACCCAUAUCCCAGUGUGUCAGGGUUACAUAAUCCAACGACCCCCCUCCCCAUAGAAAGCAGGUGGAGGUUGGAAACAGGGGGUCCCAAGGGUCAUCGAUUGUUCUCUGGCUCCUGUAUGGUCGAGAUGAGGACUUACUGGGAGAGCCCCGAAACCUGAGCCUGUCUCCGAGGGGCAUUGGACGGCUGCCAUGCAACCUCUCAGCAACUCUCUGCACCUCGUCAGCCACUUCACACAUGCACACGCUGCCCACGGCUCUGGCAACACUACCUCUAGCCUCCCCUGCGGUGGACCCCUCUCGCUGUGCAACGUCUCAUUAGCGUGAGUACAAUUAUGUAAUGCCAUCAGUCUUUGUCACAUCCCUCGCUGAGUGACCCCGGCCAGGCGGCGACAACGACAACAACAACAACAAACCCGCCAUCAGCCAGAACAGAUCUGUGUGUGAGGAGGUGAGGAGAGACACAGAGGCGCAAAGCAACGGGACUACAAGAAUGGCAUGUAGACAUAAUUUAAAGGGUGGGAGAGGUUGGAUGUCAGCCCAGGUUUCUAAGGUGGGCGGAUGUUGGAGGGAAGGAGGAGAGAGCACUGACUAAUAUAGUAUCAGUGGCCUUUGGCCUGUGCAGUCACAGACAUUUUGACAGGUUACUGACACAGAUGCAAGUCCUUGCUCAAAGACUGCCCGGAUGGAAAAGAGGCGGUUUUAAUUCAUCAGGAACUUAAAUGGAGACCUGCUUCUGCGCCCUCAGCAGUCUGUAGUCAUGAUGAUGGAUCACCUUAGCUUACACACACACACACACACACACACACACAGCCUAAGCAGAUGACGAGAACCACCUUGUAGUGGGAUCUCAUGCCUGGUAACUCUGAUAUCAGCGCACAUCUGACUCAUUUCAAUGCUCUUUAGCUGUCAACAGGCUGACAGAUGUUUUUACAGACACCACACAAAUGAACAUGGCAUUCAAAUAUAUAAAGAGUUGGUGCUGGUGUCAAGAAAGUUACUUUAGGUGGAUAGCUGAGAUUCCUCUCUAAACUUGAAUGUUUUCUAAAUAUUUCAUUUUUAACUACCAAGAGUAAGGCUUAAAUGUAGAGUUGCAGUGAUGCAGUGAAAUUGCAUUGCAUUGCAUUACAGUGUCAAUUAUCAGUACGUUGUAAAGUUAAAGUGGCAGAGCAGACAUAGACAUCAUGCAUCAUUAGUUGGAUUGUGAGACCCGAGAACAACACACUCAAAUCUUUUGUGUGGGUCCCUGUCCUCCGAUUGUGUUUUAUCUGUGAAAUGUUAUCUCUUAUGUCAAAGUCUGAACAUCCACGCUCCAUGUGUGAUGUAUCACCGCUACAGAACAGGUAGUACAGAAUGAUUGAGGUCUAGCAGUCUUACUCCUUCUCUUUCCUGUAUUCUCUCACUCUCUCUCUCUCUGUCUGUCUGUCACUUACACACUCUUUCCAUCUCUUAAGAGGUCAGACAGUAGGAAUGGAGACUUAUCUUGGAAUGAAACUCUCUCAAUGCAGUCUACACAUUUACACGUUCUGUGACUCCAUUUGUCUAGCUGCACUCUUUGACAGAACCAAAGAUGGACAGUUCACUUCACUUGGUCCCCGGGCGCUACAAGCCGCCCACUGCUCCUGGGGGGUCCUUGAGGAAGGACAGUCCAGGAUGGGAAAAAGCAGAAAAUAAAUUCACCGCGACCUCAGGCUUACCUGCGUGUGUGUGUGUGUGUCCUGUGUCGCCUCCAUAUAUGCACGUGUGUGUUCCAGUGUGUCGUGUGUGCCAUUAAAAACCUGACAAAGGUCUUAAAUUAUUUAUUUUUUAUUUGCUAGACCAAAUGAGGGCUGCAUGCUGCCUCUACGCACAGCAGGAAAACACAAUAAACAGAUGGUCAAGUUAACUAAUCUCUCAGUGUCUGUAGCAACUUCAAAAUCACCUGCUUAUUAAAACCCUGAAAGACAGGACAUCCUAAAGUAAUAUAAGAUUUCCUUGCAAAAGGCUCUCUCCCUAAGUGAUGUGUUAAUUUGACUGGUUGCCAUUAUUACAAGCAAAUUGGGUUGUAGAAAGCAGGUCAGUUAUGUAUGUGUCUGAUGUGUAUUUAUUCCAGUAAACUAUUUACCAUUCAUUUAAUGUGCUGUUAGUUGACUGUUCGUCAAAAUGUCUCCUGUCGUUUGUGCUUAAUGUGAUGCUCUGGUGAGCGUGUUUGUGCUCAGCACAUGGAGAGGCAGUCGAUGGGAGUCUGUCAGCGUGUUUACGAGAGACUGCAGCUCUGUGCCUGUGUACUUGCCAUCCCCACGGGUGAUCAACAUUGUGUGCUCCCUGGAAAGAACCUGGGGAACUCAUUAUGCAAACUUCUGGGGAUUUGAUCAAACAAAGAGGGCUCAAACUGUGGAGCGAUAAUAAGCCAGCAGCAAUGUUAUUACAGAUGCUCAGAACACUCAUGCAUUUUGCAAAUAUUUUCUACCAGGUCAUUUGCAUGGGGUUCCCAUUGAAGGUUUGAUCCAGAAAUGUUUGUUUAUAUUCAUGGCUGUCACAUGAAAGACUGGCAGUGGGAGGGACUGUGUAUGUAUCUUUGCAUGUGAAGACUGGUGCAAAGACACAAUGGACACACUGUGCUGUGAUCAUGAAAAUGAAAAAUAAGCUCAUGCCAAAUUAUAUUCUUACACUAGGUUUAUCAGUACAAGUAUCUCUUCAUCAAUCUAUGACAGAUAACUGAUACAGAGUUAAGUUUCCCUUAAUUGAGAGUGGCCACUCAAGACUAUAACUAAAUGAACACGGAUAAAUAUGCAUUGUGUGUUUAUACCUUGUGCUAAACAAAGUCGUCGUCAAUGACGUCAGUGAGGAAGAAUAGGUAAUUUGGUGUUCUUCAUAUAACAUAAUUUUAUCGCAUCAUGCUUCCCAUUAAUGUAUUAUUUACUUUGAAAUGCACAACCUCUGCACCAAUGCACAACUUGCACAAUUGACCACAAUUACGUAGCCUACAGUUAUUUAAUUUGUCCUUAUUUAUACUAACAGCUCAUGUUGUGUUUGCCUGUUAUUCGUGUAAUUUUAGAAGUAGGAUACCGCAGCGUCCAGCAGCUCUGGAGAAACUGUCCCGUCCGUUUCGCACGCAGCAAAUCCUGUUACCCACUGAAUACAAAUUCUCCACAGUGACGUAGGUCCUGCGUCGGAGGGAGGAGAGCGAGCAGGUCGAAGAUGAAUCAUAGCUUACCAAUUCACCUUCAGGCUACUCUAUUGAGUGUCCCGUAGAAAGUGUGUCGACUUUAAAGAGUACAUUUAGUGAACUGCAUUUAUUUAUAUGCCUUAUGACAUAUUCAAUAGCCUUGCAAAAACCACACCCGGCAUGAAAUCUAGCCUACUCCCUCUCUCAAUUUUACCCAAUGCCCACCACGCACAUCUUUUUUAGCCUGGAUAAAACGUGUGGGACAGUUCAUUACGCAUGCUGUUAAUGCAGCACAAGAUGCUAAUAAUAAACAUAAUCCGAACUAUAGCGUUGCAAUUAUAGAGCUGCCCACAAAAAAAAGCAAAUCGUCGCUGCAUUGCAUCAAAGUAAAUGUAACUGUUGUGCAAUAAAGGUACACGUUAAGCCAUAUUUAACUAACAUGGAGAACUGCCAGCUCACAUCACGGUUUUCCCUAUAUGGGGCCUACUUAAAACGUUUGAUCUUUUGAUCUUUUGAAAGAGAGGGAGACCAAUGAGGAAGCUUACUGCAUGUAGGUUAAGAUUCCUCUCUGUUCGCACUUCUGCUCGUUAAAUUGUAAACUACAAGCUCGUGCGUGGCUGGUACCGUUCGCGUUUAUUAAAAUACAGCGCAAUUAUUU